UAAUGUAUGGGGAUCUGCCCGAUAGAGGGGGAUAACUACUGGAAACGGUGGCUAAUACCGCAUAAUGUCUACGGACCAAAGCAGGGGCUCUUCGGACCUUGCACUAUCGGAUGAACCCAUAUGGGAUUAGCUAGUAGGUGGGGUAAAGGCUCACCUAGGCGACGAUCUCUGCUGGUCUGAGAGGAUGAUCAGCCACACUGGGACUGAGACACGGCCCAG
rnacentral:rRNA from 1 species